ACGGGAGGCAGCAGUGGGGAAUAUUGCACAAUGGGGGAAACCCUGAUGCAGCAACGCCGCGUGAAGGAAGACGGUCUUCGGAUUGUAAACUUUUGUUCUUAGUGAAGAUAAUGACGGUAGCUAAGGAGCAAGCCACGGCUAACUACGUGCCAGCAGCCGCGGUACUACGUAGGUGGCAAGCGUUGUCCGGAAUUACUGGGUGUAAAGGGAGCGCAGGCGGGAAAUCAAGUUGGAUGUGAAAUUUCGGGGCUUAACCCCGGAACUGCAUCCAAAACUGAUUGUCUUGAGUGAAGUAGAGGUAGGCGGAAUUCCGAGUGUAGCGGUGAAAUGCGUAGAUAUUCGGAGGAACACCAGUGGCGAAGGCGGCCUACUGGGCUUUAACUGACGCUGAGGCUCGAAAGUGUGGGGAGCAAACAGGAUUAGAUACCCUGGUA
rnacentral:rRNA from 1 species